UACGGAGGGUGCAAGCGUUAAUCGGAAUUAUUGGGCGUAAAGGGCUCGUAGGCGGUCUGUCACGUCGGGAGUGAAAACACGGGGCUUAACCCCGUGCCUGCUUCCGAUACGGGCAGACUAGAGGUAUGCAGGGGAGAACGGAAUUCCUGGUGUAGCGGUGAAAUGCGCAGAUAUCAGGAGGAACACCGGUGGCGAAGGCGGUUCUCUGGGCAUUACCUGACGCUGAGGAGCGAAAGUGUGGGGAGCGAACAGG
rnacentral:rRNA from 1 species